AGUUUGACAAUUUUCUCAAGGUAUAGUCACAUGAGGGGAGAAGGAAGAGGAGAGGAUAAAGCCACUGAGCCUGACCAAGGGUAGAGGCAGGGGGUGAAAGAGGUAAGGGGUUGGAGGAGCACCCAGGACACAGAGGGACACCACUCCCCACGGGGCCAGAGAGGGUCUAAAGAGCCUUGCCUCCUCACAGGCCUAUGUGCAUGAAUUCAAAUUCCAAAGCAUCUUAGCCGAUGACUUUCUGGACUUCUACUUGGAAUAUUUCCCUGAGCUUAAGAAAAAGAGAGUGGAUAUCAUUCCAGGUUUUGAGUUUGAUCGAUGGCUGAAUAGCCCUGGCUGGCCCCCUUACCUCCCUGAUCUCUCCCUUGGAGACUCACUCAUGAAGCCUGCAGAAGAGCUAGCCCAGCUGUGGGCAGCCGACGAGCUGGACAUGAAGGCCAUUGAGGCUGUGGCCAUCUCUCCCUGGAAGACCUACCAGCUGGUCUACUUCCUGGAUAAGAUCCUCCAGAAAUCCCCUCUCCCUCCUGGGAAUGUGAGAAAACUUGGAGAGACAUACCCAAGUAUCUCAAAUGCCCGGAAUGCAGAGCUCCGGCUACGAUGGGGCCAAAUCGUCCUUAAGAAUGACCACCAGGAAGAUUUCUGGAAAGUGAAGGAGUUCCUGCAUAACCAG
rnacentral:sRNA from 1 species